GUGUGUGUGUGUGUGUGUGUUUUACUGGGCCAACGAAUGCUGAUUACUGUCCAAGGUGAAAAUAGACCAUUUCUUUUCAUCACUUGGCCGUUCUAGAAUGUGGAAAAUCUAAAACACAUGAGUGCAUGCCUGAAACUUCCUUAUUUCCAAACAGAAAUGAGCUGCGUAAGCAGAAAUUUUUAGCAUCCAUUUCAGCUUAGGUAGAAAUUUCUAAUGUGCAGCACUGUAAAUUUUAUGAACUUCCUCAAUUUAAGCUGAAGCCUUUGUGUUCCUCAAAUGUUCUGGUCAAGUUUUGC
rnacentral:misc_RNA from 1 species